CAGAAAAUAGUUUAUGGAAAAUAUUAGUUUUGGAGACUGAAGAUAGUAGUAUUAUUUUUUCUGA
rnacentral:tRNA from 1 species